ACUACAACUCCCAGGGACGCUCGAGCUCUUCGCGGCUGCCUGCUUGCUGCUGUGCAGCGCUGCGAGAGGGGAGGAAGCCAGUGAUACGGAGCCUUCUGAGCUCGUGCGCCACGGAGCCACUGGCGCCUUGGUAAACGUGGUACAGAUUCUGCAGUUUUUAGGUGAACCAGAACAUGAAAAGCCUGAAAGGAGAUUUGAAAUGUCAUUAAAGAGCUCCUGAUAGUCAUAUUAUCCCUUACUAUUCUUCCUAUCUUUUCUUUGCAUAAGG